rnacentral:rRNA from 1 species
UACGUAGGGUGCAAGCGUUGUCCGGAAUUAUUGGGCGUAAAGAGCUCGUAGGCGGUCAGUCGCGUCUGCUGUGAAAACUCGGGGCUUAACUCCGGGCCUGCAGUGGGUACGGGCUGACUAGAGUGCGGUAGGGGAGAGUGGAAUUCCUGGUGUAGCGGUGAAAUGCGCAGAUAUCAGGAGGAACACCGGUGGCGAAGGCGGGUCUCUGGGCCGUAACUGACGCUGAGGAGCGAAAGCGUGGGGAGCGAACAGG